rnacentral:misc_RNA from 1 species
CUGCAAGUAAUUGCACGCUCACCUGGGUCAAUUACGCGAUUCAUGCCAGACGAUAUCCCAGGUGUUACUUCCCCUAUGGUUUAUAUUGGUAUGCUGUUCAGUUGGUUUGCUUGGCAUGUUGAAGAUCAUGAGCUUCACAGCAUGAAUUUUCUGCAUACUGGCUCUCCAAAGACUUGGUAUGCUGUCCCCGGAGAUUAUGCAUUUGCAUUUGAGGAAGUUAUCUGUACUGAGGCUUAUGGUGGCAGUAUUGAUCGCUUAGGUGCUCUGACAUUGUUGGGUGAGAAGACAACCG